CCUACGGGUGGCAGCAGUCGAGAAUCAUUCACAAUGGGGGAAACCCUGAUGGUGCGACGCCGCGUGGGGGAAUGAAGGUCUUCGGAUUGUAAACCCCUGUCAUGUGGGAGCAAAGUAGAAAGAGAGUACCACUAGAGGAAGAGACGGCUAACUCUGUGCCAGCAGCCGCGGUAAUACAGCGGUCGCAAGCGUUGUUCGGAACCACUGGGCGUAAAGCGUGCGUAGGCUGUUUCGUAGGUGGUGCGUGAAAGGCGGUGGCUCAACCCGCGGAGGGCGCAUGAGACUGGGAGACUAGAGUUAGCGAGGGGGAAGCGGAAUUCGCGGUGUAGCAGUGAAAUGCGUAGAUAUCGAGAGGAACACUCGUGGCGAAGGCAGGUUCCUGGACAUUAACUGACGCUGAAGCACGAAGGCCAGGGGAGCGAAAGGGAUUAGAUACCCGUGUAGUC
rnacentral:rRNA from 1 species